GGAAUAUUGGACAAUGGGCGAAAGCCUGAUCCAGCCAUGCCGCGUGUGUGAAGAAGGUCUUCGGAUUGUAAAGCACUUUAAGUUGGGAGGAAGGGCAGUUACCUAAUACGUGACUGUCUUGACGUUACCGACAGAAUAAGCACCGGCUAACUCUGUGCCAGCAGCCGCGGUAAUACAGAGGGUGCAAGCGUUAAUCGGAAUUACUGGGCGUAAAGCGCGCGUAGGUGGUUUGUUAAGUUGAAUGUGAAAUCCCCGGGCUCAACCUGGGAACUGCAUCCAAAACUGGCAAGCUAGAGUAUGGUAGAGGGUAGUGGAAUUUCCUGUGUAGCGGUGAAAUGCGUAGAUAUAGGAAGGAACACCAGUGGCGAAGGCGACUACCUGGACUGAUACUGACACUGAGGUGCGAAAGCGUGGGGAGCAAACAGGAUUAGAUACCCUAG
rnacentral:rRNA from 1 species